AAGUCGUAACAAGGUCUCCGUUGGUGAACCAGCGGAGGGAUCAUUACUGAGUUAUCACAACUCCCAACCCAUGUGAACCUUACCAAUCGUUGCCUCGGCAGGGCCCCCUAAACCCGGGCCUUGCCGGCGGACCCAACCAACUCUUGCUGUAUCGUGGCAUUCUGAGUAUUAAAAACAUAAUAGUUAAAACUUUCAACAACGGAUCUCUUGGUUCUG
rnacentral:misc_RNA from 1 species